rnacentral:tRNA from 1 species
GCCCGCUUAGGCAAAUUUGGUAAAGCCGCCCGGCUCAGACCCGGGAGUUUCCGAGUUCGAGUCUCGGAGCGGGUA